rnacentral:rRNA from 1 species
GGUAGUCCACGCCGUAAACGAUGAUAACUAGCUGUCCGGGGACUUGGUCCUUGGGUGGCGCAGCUAACGCAUUAAGUUAUCCGCCUGGGGAGUACGGCCGCAAGGUUAAAACUCAAAUGAAUUGACGGGGGCCUGCACAAGCGGUGGAGCAUGUGGUUUAAUUCGAAGCAACGGGAAGAACCUUACCAGCGUUUGACAUGCCUGGACCGCCAGAGAGAUCUGGUUUUCUCUUCGGAGACUAGGACACAGGUGCUGCAUGGUUGUCGUCAGCUCGUGUCGUGAGAUGUUGGGUUAAGUCCCGCAACGAGCGCAACCCUCGCCCUUAGUUGCCAGCAUUCAGUUGGGCACUCUAAGGGGACUGCCGGUGAUAAGCCGAGAGGAAGGUGGGGAUGACGUCAAGUCCUCAUGGCCCUUACGGGCUGGGCUACACACGUGCUACAAUGGUGGUGACAGUGGGCAGCGAAGGAGCGAUCCCGAGCUAAUCUCCAAAAGCCAUCUCAGUUCGGAUUGCACUCUGCAACUCGAGUGCAUGAAGUUGGAAUCGCUAGUAAUCGCGGAUCAGCACGCCGCGGUGAAUACGUUCCCGGGCCUUGUACACACCGCCCGUCACACCAUGGGAGUUGGUUUUACCCGAAGGCGGCUGCGCUAACCCGCAAGGGAGGCAGGCGACCACGGUAGGGUCAGCGACUGGGGUGAAGUCGUAACAAGGUAACC